UACAGGAGGGUGCUAGCGUUAAUCGGAAUUACUGGGCGUAAAGCGUGCGCAGGCGGUUUGUAAGACCGAUGUGAAAUCCCCGGGCUUAACCUGGGAACUGCAUUGGUGACUGCAAGGCUUUGAGUGUGUCAGAGGGAGGUGGAAUUCCGCGUGUAGCAGUGAAAUGCGUAGAUAUGCGGAGGAACACCGAUGGCGAAGGCAGCCUCCUGGGAUAACACUGACGCUCAUGCACGAAAGCGUGGGGAGCAAACAGG
rnacentral:rRNA from 1 species